AGAGUUUGAUCAUGGCUCAGAACGUACGCUGGCGGCACGCCUAACACAUGCAAGUCGAACGAAGUAGCAAUACUUAGUGGCAGACGGGUGAGUAACAUGUGGGUAUCUACCCUUUGGCCUGGAAUAACACGAGGAAACUUGUGCUAAUACCGGAUAAGUCUUUACGGAGAAAGCUUUAUGCACCAUUGGAUGAGCCCGCACUUGAUUAGUUUGUUGGUAGGGUAAUGGCCUACCAAGACUAUGAUCAAUAGCUGAUUUGAGAGGAUGAUCAGCCACAUUGGGACUGAGACACGGCCCAAACUCCUACGGGAGGCAGCAGUGGGGAAUCUUGCACAAUGGAGGAAACUCUGAUGCAGCGAUGCCGCGUGAGUGAAGAAGGCCUUUGGGUUGUAAAGCUCUUUCGUCGGGGAAGAAAAUGACUGUACCCGAAUAAGAAGGUCCGGCUAACUUCGUGCCAGCAGCCGCGGUAAUACGAAGGGACCUAGCGUAGUUCGGAAUUACUGGGCUUAAAGAGUUCGUAGGUGGUUGAAAAAGUUGGUGGUGAAAUCCCAGAGCUUAACUCUGGAACUGCCAUCAAAACUUUUCAGCUAGAGUAUGAUAGAGGAAAGCAGAAUUUCUAGUGUAGAGGUGAAAUUCGUAGAUAUUAGAAAGAAUACCAAUUGCGAAGGCAGCUUUCUGGAUCAUUACUGACACUGAGGAACGAAAGCAUGGGUAGCGAAGAGGAUUAGAUACCCUCGUAGUCCAUGCCGUAAACGAUGUGUGUUAGACGUUGGAAAUUUAUUUUCAGUGUCGCAGGGAAACCGAUAAACACACCGCCUGGGGAGUACGACCGCAAGGUUAAAACUCAAAUGAAUUGACGGGGACCCGCACAAGUAGUGGAGCAUGUGGUUUAAUUCGAAGAUACGCGCAGAACCUUACCAACACUUGACAUGUUCGUCGCGACUCUAAGAGAUUAGAGUUUUCGGUUCGGCCGGACGAAACACAGGUGCUGCAUGGCUGUCGUCAGCUCGUGUCGUGAGAUGUUGGGUUAAGUCCCGCAACGAGCGCAACCCUCACUUUUAGUUGCCAUCAUUAAGUUGGGCACUCUGAAAGAACUGCCAGUGAUAAGCUGGAGGAAGGUGGGGAUGACGUC
rnacentral:rRNA from 1 species